AUGCAUAGAUUGCUCACCGCCAUGACAAAAACGUUGGUGGGGCGGUAUCAAGAGCAGAGAAGCCUCGGCGAAGGUUUUGACAUCGACGCCUGCAAGAGCGGUGAACAGAGCAAGUAUCCACAAUUCCACAGAGCAAGACCGUCAGCAACAAACGCAGGACGCUUCCAUAAAUUUCAGCAAAGAGAAUCCUGGAAGUGUUACCUCAAACAGUGCAUGUGCAAUCUGUUCUGGAAGACCAUCCCUCCAAGAACAACAAGUGAAUGCUUGUGCAAUCUGUUCUGGAAGACCGUCCUUCCAAGCACAAUGGCGUGCCAUAAUUCCAGCAAGUGA
rnacentral:rRNA from 1 species